rnacentral:tRNA from 1 species
AUUAGGGUAGCUUAAAUAUUAAAGCGUGAUAUUGAAGAUAUUAAUAUAAGUAUAUACUUUCCUAAUA